AGCGAACGCUGGCGGCAGGCUUAACACAUGCAAGUCGAACGCAUCCUUCGGGGUGAGUGGCAGACGGGUGAGUAACACGUGGGAACGUGCCCUCCGGUCUGGGAUAACCCUGGGAAACUAGGGCUAAUACCGGAUACGUGCUCAGGCAGAAAGGUUUACUGCCGGAGGAUCGGCCCGCGUCUGAUUAGCUAGUUGGGGGGGUAACGGCCUACCAAGGCGACGAUCAGUAGCUGGUCUGAGAGGAUGAUCAGCCACACUGGGACUGAGACACGGCCCAGACUCCUACGGGAGGCAGCAGUGGGGAAUAUUGGACAAUGGGCGCAAGCCUGAUCCAGCCAUGCCGCGUGAGUGAUGACGGCCUUAGGGUUGUAAAGCUCUUUUCUCCGGGACGAUAAUGACGGUACCGGAGGAAUAAGCCCCGGCUAACUUCGUGCCAGCAGCCGCAGUAACAC
rnacentral:rRNA from 1 species